rnacentral:rRNA from 1 species
UGAGGAAUAUUGGACAAUGGGGGAAACCCUGAUCCAGCAAUGCCGCGUGGAUGAAGAAGGCCUUCGGGUUGUAAAGUCCUUUCACUCGUGAAGAUUAUGACGGUAGCGAGAGAAGAAGUCCCGGCUAACUCUGUGCCAGCAGCCGCGGUAAGACAGAGGGGACUAGCGUUGUUCGGAAUUACUGGGCGUAAAGGGUGCGUAGGCGGUUGUCUAAGUAAAAUGUUAAAGCCCUGGGCUUAACCCAGGAGUUGCGUUUUAAACUGGACGGCUAGAGUAUGGUAGAGGAAAGUGGAAUUCCUAGUGUAGAGGUGAAAUUCGUAGAUAUUAGGAGGAACAUCAGAGGCGAAGGCGGCUUUCUGGGCCAUUACUGACGCUGAGGCACGAAAGCGUGGGGAGCAAACAGG